rnacentral:rRNA from 1 species
GGGGAAUAUUGGACAAUGGGGGAAACCCUGAUCCAGCCAUGCCGCGUGUGCGAUGAAGGCUUUCGGGUUGUAAAGCACUUUCAGUCGGGAGGAAAGGGUGCAGGCUAAUACCCUGUGCAGUUGACGUUACCGACAGAAGAAGCACCGGCAAACUCCGUGCCAGCAGCCGCGGUAAUACGGAGGGUGCGAGCGUUAAUCGGAAUUACUGGGCGUAAAGCGCGCGUAGGCGGUUACUUAAGCGAGAUGUGAAAUCCCCGGGCUUAACCUGGGCACUGCAUUUCGAACUGGGUGACUAGAGUUUUGGAGAGGAGAGUGGAAUUCCCGGUGUAGCGGUGAAAUGCGUAGAGAUCGGGAGGAACAUCAGUGGCGAAGGCGGCUCUCUGGCCAAAAACUGACGCUGAGGCGCGAAAGCGUGGGGAUCAAAC